CUCCUACGGGAGGCAGCAGUGGGGAAUAUUGCACAAUGGGCGCAAGCCUGAUGCAGCCAUGCCGCGUGUGUGAAGAAGGCCUUCGGGUUGUAAAGCACUUUCAGCGGGGAGGAAGGCGAUAAGGUUAAUAACCUUGUCGAUUGACGUUACCCGCAGAAGAAGCACCGGCUAACUCCGUGCCAGCAGCCGCGGUAAUACGGAGGGUGCAAGCGUUAAUCGGAAUUACUGGGCGUAAAGCGCACGCAGGCGGUCUG
rnacentral:rRNA from 1 species